UACGUAGGGGGGCAAGCGUUGUCCGGAUUUAUUGGGCGUAAAGAGCGUGUAGGCGGCCUUACAGGUCAGCUGUGAAAACUCGAGGCUCAACCUCGAGACGUCGGCGGAAACCAUCUGGCUAGAGUCCGGAAGAGGAGAGUGGAAUUCCUGGUGUAGCGGUGAAAUGCGCAGAUAUCAGGAAGAACACCCGUGGCGAAGGCGGCUCUCUGGGACGGUACUGACGCUGAGGAGCGAAAAGUGUGGGGGAGCGAACAGG
rnacentral:rRNA from 1 species